CCGUGCAGUCGGGCAUGAACCUCGAGUGGUCUCAGAAGUGCCUCCAGGACAACGACUGGGAUUACGGCCAGGCCGGGCAGGUUUUUACCCAGCUCAAGAUGGAAGGGAAGAUUCCAGAGGUCGCGUUUCUUAAGUGAACAUCGAAGAUCCCCGCCCCCUCCCCGAGCCCCCCUCCCGUGUUCGAUUCCCGUCGAUCCCCGUCAAGUUUUGUAAAUAAAUCGAUCGAUUAUUGAUUAUUGA